UUUCACUCACAAACCUAAUUCAUUUCUCAACAUAUUCCCUCAUUUUCUUCUUUAUCGGGUGCCAGCAAGAGGAACGACGCUACUGCAAGAGAGUAGUGCCGACUGCGAGAACCUUUGCCCCUAGGUGCUCUACCCAGGAAUGUCUCAGCUGCGAAGACCUCUGCCUCUAGGUGCGCCACGCGACCUCUGCCAAAUCUGAAAAACAUUGUCCGAAGAAGUGACGUCAUCGAAAUACAUCAUGUUGCGGUACUGUGGCGUCGCUGCACGCGUGGCACUGUGCCAAAAAAGGAGAUGAUGUCGUUGCACUGCAGUUGAUUGGAUCUCAUUUUAGACGUAUGUAAUGAUGUCGCUGCUACUACAAUUUAUGCGUUCUAAUUUUUUAUCUGAUUGUGUAGUAAUUUUGUUGACAGUGUUUGUAGUUGGUGGUCAUGAUGUUGGCGGUGAUGUUGAGUUUGUGGUGAUGUUGGCUUUGUUCUGGUUUGGAUCUAGUUUUGGUAAAGGAAAGGGUAGAGGCGGAGUGGUGUAAUGUUGGUGGUGGUCAUGGUGUGAUGUUGUUGGUGGUCGUGGUGGUGAUUGAUAAAUUUUGAUGAUUUUUGGUGGUGUUUGGGUGGUCGGUAGUGGUGGGUUGUUGGGGCUGUGUCUAUGUCUAUGUUGCUAGCGAUAGGGUUGUGUUGGUGAUGGUGGUGCUAUUAGACUGUGUUGGUGGUGGUGGUGGUGUGUGUGAGACCAACUAUUUGGUUAAUCUAUGACUAAUCAUCUGGUUAUUUGUGAUUAACUAUUUGAUUGUGACCUAAAAGUUCGAUAAUUUGUGAGCAACUAAUUUAAAGAUCUGUGAUCGACAAAUAAAU
rnacentral:lncRNA from 1 species